UUACCCGGAGUACGUCACGGUUGUGGUUUCAUUCGUGGAAAAUAUCGUAGAAUCUCGACUCGUAACGGAGUCUGUUCGUAAUCGCGAGUUUCGAGUAAACGAAUCGGUCGGACAGCGAUCGACCUUCAUGCAAAUACGUGAAUGCAUUUUACACGUGAUAAUUGUAAUUCUAAACAGAACUUCUCCUACAAUUUGCUGAUGUCUCGAUGAUCGGCUGUAAAUCGUCUUAACCGAGGAAGCAACUGUUUUUUCGUACAAGAUGUCGUCCGAUGACGUCAAUAGUGUGUUAUCUAGGCGAAUGCAAAUGGAGAUUGCAAACAACCAACUUUGAUUCGUCUGUUGUCACUUCGCCCGUGAUUCUUGACAAAAUCAUUUGUCAAACGAAUUUAUUACUAACGCGAGCGACGUAGCGCUGUUUCACGUUUAAUCGGAGACAACGUGUCGUCGCGGUUUGGUCGAUUUUCUCGUUCAGUAGCCUCUCUUUGCGAAGAUUGUUUAGUCAGCUGGAGCUGGGAAUGCGCGUACUCGCUCAAUUAUCACAAUUAUUUAUUAGCCAAUAAUUGAAACCUGAAUUAUGAUACGCGAUUACGUAAACCGUUGGAUGUACUAUUGUUUUAUCGCGUAUCCCGGCUCGUUCGACUCGCAUCGAUCUCCCUUGAUUUCCCAAUCGCAUUUUACGAUAGCCGUGCCCUCGGCUAAUUGCUCGUCGCUUUUUCCUCUUCGCCUCCUUCUUUGCGUAGUGCAAUUUGUCGUACAAGGCUGAGCGCCUCUUUCGCGUUAUCUGCAUUCCUCGCCGCGAAACUGCCGCUCGGUUAUCAGCCGAUUAGGUGACAAAAAAAAGAAUUGACACUUCUAAGAUCCACGCGUGUGCUAUAUAGAUAGAUACCGGUCGCAUAAUCGCGGUCACGUUGGUGCCCGAAACGCUCGGCAACGGCAACUUCCCCACUAUCGAUCGUUUCGCGAACGUUUCCCGGUGAGUCAGCGAUUCUUUCCAAAGAUUUUCCAUUCGAUUUACGUCUGUAUUCUAUCGGAUCGUCUUCGAUCUUGUUCGAUCGCUCUUGAAUCCCCUUCCCUGUGAAGAUCGGUGACCGAGUGUUGGAAACGAGUCGCGUCACAAAGAGAAUUCGGAGUUCUUUGUCGUCACACGUACAACCUUUGCUUUUGUGUGCACGGUUUCCGUGGUGGAGACCGGCACUUACAAGGUACAGACACAGAAAUACACCGACGCACGUACGAACACAGACAGGCCAGGCUAUCGGCGUCGAGCAGGCUAUAGAUCACCCACACAGAGGCAAAAGCACGCAACAUGGCAACCGAGGCAGGACGUAGAGACGAUGGUUAUACGUAGGAGUUCCAGUGGCAGGGGGUCAGUGUAAAACGGCCUUCUGUCGGCAACGUGUCGAUCGUGCCGUUCCUGUUAAGCAAGCCAAUUUUCCGCGUUCUUAUCGCUACGUACAAUUCUAUUUACAAAACACCGCUACUCGGCUCCGAAACGGAAGGGAUCGUUUCGUCGCUCUGAUUUCACGACGAGUGUGUCGAACCUACUUCGCCAUCGUCGAUUUCAAAAACCUGCUGACUAGUAGCGUACAGGGGAGCUUACAAAAGGCUUGUUUCGCGCUCGUUGAUGGCUGCCAGGGUCGUCGGCUAGGAGUCGUUCAGCGAAGUUUCGUGCUGCCAGUGUGAUAACACAGCCCAUACCCGAUGAGUAUUAGAUUGGCAGGUGGUCAUAUGGUGAAGCAGAGGAGGUUUAUUGGGAACACGAAUAACAAGAUGAUCAACAUACGAGAAUAUUUAUAGGCUACUCAUAGGUGGAACUCCAACGUAUAUUACACGUGUCCCAAUAUCGUGUGGUAGAAUCAGCGAACGCGGAUCGAUCCGUAUGAAGGAAAACAUCCGAGCAACCACGCAAUCAACAAGGUGCGAACAGUAGUGUUCCGGCGAAAUUUUUUUUAAAAAUCCGUAAAAGGUGCUCGAGGCAUCCGAAGCGAACGUAUAGCAAACGAAUCUCUGAGAGAUCUCCAGAGGCGUCUGAGCUAUGGUUAGUCUCUGCGACGACCUGAUUUCCUGCUUUUACGUAAUCCCAGGGAGAUGUUUAAUUUUCGCGAACAGAUCCGAUUUAUCGAGCGCUCGUACGAGGAACGAGUCUAGAAGAGCUUUCGUUCAAGCGUGUUGAAGAUAAAGUACGCGAAAAAGAUAAAGGAAGAACAAGGGCAAAGAAAAACUGCUUCGCGAGGUGUAGAACAUGAGUUCUCUGUAACACGCAGAAUCGAGAUCGUUCAUGUGCUCGCAAACGUAUCUGCUGCCAGCGAGUUUGUGCUUCAUUAGACAGGUUCUUUUUUUAGGUUUCCGGCAAGUGUGAUACUCGCAAAGAAAUACAGCCAAAGUAAACUAGUGAUAUUCUUUAUGCAGUAUUCUUCUUCCAUUAUUGCGAGGGUAUAUAAAACGAGGAGAUAGAGGAAUCGAGGAUAGAUCGAGUCGGAAUUAAUAUAAUAAGAUAAUAAAAGUAUCUAAGGAGUUGGAUAAUUUGAUCAGAUAUACGAAUUGAAAACAACGAAACGGUUUUGUGAUCUAUUUUUACGACUCGAGUGCCGGCAUCGGCAGAUAUUCUUCAAAAUGCCCUUGAAGUUCAUCGGACGUAAAACGGGAGUGUGAUAAAUCGGUCGGAUUAUAUCCAUUCAUCAAGGAUGGUGCAGCAGCCCGUUUGUACCCGUUGUGCUCCAGCAACCCACAUUUAUCUCGUGCCAAGCCUGCGCUUUCGUAUUUGCGCUUUGCACUGGCCGGGUAUCCGACCACCGAAGUCAGUCUCCGCGCAGAAUUUUUUCUAUUUUCCCGCGAUCGAUCUCUCUCCCUUCCGUUCGAAUCCGCGAUUAAACCCAACGAGCCGACGCGACGUCUUUUCGGUAUCGCCGAUUCAACGUAGUUGGCAAAGAACGUCGGGUCUAGUAAAAUCGGCGACGGUGAACCGAGCGGGAGAGAUCCAAAGCGUCGAUCUAAAAAAAGCUCCGUUGGCAAAAACCACGCGUAUUGCACGCGAACGAUGGAAAAUACCGCAGCGUUGCGAGGCGCGACUUCCGUUCGGCUGGUCGGUGCAAACGUCAGACGGUCUUGAAGCGGCGUACGUCAUCGGGAGACCGAAACGAGAGCUUGGCGGGCGGUCGCACGUCACCGUUCGAUCCUCAGGGGCGUCGCGACGCCUGUCCGUACCACGGCGAGCGAAUCUCCUUCCCAGAAUUUCGACGCUCAUCCGGUUCACACCGGUUCCCGUUGGCAGCUGGCACACUUCCGAUCGCCACCGCGUCGCAUACGCGUCACCGCACCGGUGCCGCGUUGGACCGAUCGUCCCUUUUCGACUCGGUCGCGUCUCACCUCGAUCCGUCUCCGACAGGGAUGAAAAAGAGGGGACACGGCGUCGUUGCGUAAGCGUCUGGACGCCGAGGCACCGUUGCGUCAGUCGUUCGAAAGCUACUAAGCAUCGCGGUCCACGAAAAGCCCACGAAGAGAGUCACUUGGCCGGUCUGCUCCGAACUACACUCUGAUCUUAUAUAACGUGAUUCGAAUGAGAGCAUCGAAAUUAAUGCAUCUUUCAAUAUUUAUACAUAUACGUACGUGAAGUACACUGUCAUCAAUCAUAAUAUAAAGAAUGUAGAAAGGUGCGUGAUGUGUAGAAGUAUUUUGGAUAAAUUUCAUAUGCAAUUGCCCACAUACAUAAUUCAUAGUUUCUCUUUGUGUACCGAGGACUAAGUAAAUGCAGGAGGAAAACACAAACAGAGAUCAGUCACCAGUUUCAGCGAAGUUACCACACGAUCGUAUAUCAAGGGACUCGAUUACGAUGCGCCGCCGACGGCACUUAUAAUCGUGGCAAGCGUGGUGUCUUCAGUAAAUUUGACUCACUAGCGUGAAGAGGACGACCACGUCCCCGGAUACGAUUCAGUUCUUUCCAACGUCGUGUGUGAAUCUUCGGACGUGAAGCUCGGUCGCGAACAACCGGUUUGUUUGGUGCUGUGCGCGUAUAGGCCUCACCCUCGCGUCGGUCUACGCCUCCGUUCAACCCUCCGCAACCCCCCGCAACCCCCGAUUUCUUCGUUUCCUGGACAAAUACACGAAUACGAUUCUCUCCGUCUUGGUGCCCGUUCGUGUAACGUUCGUGCACUGUCAGCCCGCGUAGUGAAAUCUAGUGAAGUCGCGAAGGACACUUAUGAAGGGGUCCAUCAACGCACCGCGGCCUAUCGUUGAUCAGAACAGAUAUAUUUGGGAUAACGAUUGGAAACAGUAGUGUAGACAAGGUACCGUAUCAUUGUCAUCGAAGUUCAUUAGUGUGUUAGUAUUAGAUGAAUUUGAAUUUCACAGUCGGUCGUUUUGGAUACAGUGACUUCUAAUUCGUUU